UGGUUCCGGCAUCGAUGAAGAACGCAGCGAAUUGCGAAACGUAGUGUGAAUUGCAGAAUUCAGCGAACCAUCGAAUCUUUGAACGCACAUUGCGCCCGCCGGUAUCCCGGCGGGCAUGCCUGUCCGAGCGUCGUUAAACCGCCCAGGCUCUGUCUGGUGUUGGGGCUCCGUGGGUUCCCGCGGACUCUGCAAGCAAGCGGCGGCUCGCAUGCAGCCCGAGCGAGGUACAAAUCGAGCUCAGCUCCCCUAGCCUCUGGGCCUGGGAUCGCUCAGGGUCUGUAGGCGCAGCCAGCCAACAACUAUUCUACAAGCUCGACCUCGGAUCAGGUAGGAAUACCCGCUGA
rnacentral:misc_RNA from 1 species